GCCCGUUUGGCUUAGCGGUAAAGCGCAUCACUAGUACUUGUGUCAAACAUUGCUAUGAUGAGAUCCUAGGUUCGAUUCCUAGAACGGGCA
rfam:Botryotinia fuckeliana T4 unplaced genomic scaffold Contig_16209_V3__V4, whole genome shotgun sequence.